rnacentral:rRNA from 1 species
AAACCAACAGGGAUUGCCCUAGUAACGGCGAGUGAAGCGGCAACAGCUCAAAUUUGAAAUUCUGGCGCAAGCCCGAGUUGUAAUUUGUAGAGGAUGCUUCUGGGCAGCGGCCGGUCUAAGUUCCUUGGAACAGGUCGUCAUAGAGGGUGAGAACCCCGUAUGUGACCGGCGCGCACCCUCCACGUAGCUCCUUCGACGAGUCGAGUUGUUUGGGAAUGCAGCUCUAAAUAGGAGGCAAAUUUCUUCUAAAGCUAAAUACCGGCCAGAGACCGAUAGCGCACAAGUAGAGUGAUCGAAAGAUGAAAAGCACUUUGGAAAGAGAGUUAAAAAGCACGUGGAAUUGUUGAAAGGGAAGCGCUUGCAACCAGACUCCGCGGCGGUGUUCCGCCGGUCUUCUGACCGGUCUACUCGCCGCCGUGGGGCCAACAUCGUCUGGGGCCGCCGGAUAAGACCGUUGGAAUAUGGCUCCCUCGGGAGUGUUAUAGCCAGCGGUGAUGCGGCGCGUCUCGGGCGAGGUCCGCGCUUCGGCAAGGAUGUUGGCGUAAUGGUUGCCAGCGGC